CCUAAACGUCACGUGUUUAUGAAAGCUGUUGUAAUUAUUUCCCUCUUUUAAUGUCUUUGAGACCUUGUAGUUUAUAAUCUGUGGUCUGUUGUCUACAUGAAAGUAGUCUUACGGCAUCAUCAUGCCAAACAUCCAGAUAAGAGCCAGCCAGGUUGAUAAAGGACAUCUCACCACUGGCUAUUAAUUACAGUCAGAGAUACCAAAUUCCAUCCAGAAAAUCCAAAACUACAGUUGGGGAGGAAAGAAAGAGCAAGAGAAAAUCAGGGUCUGUUGGUGGCCACUGCCUGUGGUCAGUGGGUGAGAGGUGGGGAAUGCCUUUGUCAGGUCAGAGGGCAUUGCACAGGACAAAAACAACCAUGUGCACACACAGACACGCUGAAACCUAAGGACAACCUGGAGAGACAGAUUAACAGCCUGGUCCAUCCUUGUCUUGGGACAAGGGAAGGAAGCCAAAGUACCCUCCCUCGUGUGCACAGGGAGAAUAUAUAAACUCCAUGCUGAAAAGACCCCAGGAUCUUCUUGCUGUGGGGGCAACAGCAUUAUCAUCUGCACCGCUGUGCAGCCCCGUGUUUUAUAUUAUCACAUUAGAUUUAUUUUCAAACAAAUACAAUCAGACUGUGUACACAAUUCAGCUUUUAAGCGAUGGUCUAAUUGUUUUUCUGCAGGAACAAAAAUCUCUCCAGACCAAACUACUGUUGUUAAAAACUAACCGCUACACCUUUAUUAAUGCAGAAUGCAGUUAUCCGACAAAACUGUCUAAGAACCCGAGGGCUGAAGAAUUUUUUGGAUGAUGUAGAUUCCAUAACGUCCGGUACAAAGAGAACACAGCAUUUAAAAAAAAAGUAGCAUCUUACUGACAGUCAAACACGAUGAAACGUGAUCGUGUCACAAUGAAGUUUCAAACUUGCUGUAAUUAGUGAAAGAAUUGCAUUAGUAGCAUUAAUCCAGUAAAUCCACCCAAGAGUCCAAUAAAAAUCCUACAGAGUUACUAUUAACACAUUGUUGAUGCUCUUAAAAGUUCCAAUGUGUAAGUUUUAACAGUCUUCAAAAAAAAA